UGGGGAAUUUUGGACAAUGGGCGAAAGCCUGAUCCAGCAAUGCCGCGUGUGUGAAGAAGGCCUUCGGGUUGUAAAGCACUUUUGUCCGGAAAGAAAUCCUUGGCUCUAAUACAGUCGGGGGAUGACGGUACCGGAAGAAUAAGCACCGGCUAACUACGUGCCAGCAGCCGCGGUAAUACGUAGGGUGCAAGCGUUAAUCGGAAUUACUGGGCGUAAAGCGUGCGCAGGCGGUUUGCUAAGACCGAUGUGAAAUCCCCGGGCUCAACCUGGGAACUGCAUUGGUGACUGGCAGGCUAGAGUAUGGCAGAGGGGGGUAGAAUUCCACGUGUAGCAGUGAAAUGCGUAGAGAUGUGGAGGAAUACCGAUGGCGAAGGCAGCCCCCUGGGCCAAUACUGACGCUCAUGCACGAAAGCGUGGGGAGCAAACAGGAUUAGAUACCCUGGUAGUCCACGCCCUAAACGAUGUCAGCUAGUUGUUGGGGAUUCAUUUCCUUAGUAACGUAGCUAACGCGUGAAGUUGACCGCCUGGGGAGUACGGUCGCAAGAUUAAAACUCAAAUGAAUUGACGGGGUCAUAGCUG
rnacentral:rRNA from 1 species